CCCUGCUUUCCAGAUAGUCAUCUCUUAAGACAAAACCAGAGGCCCAGAGAGGGGAAGUACCUUCCCCAAAGUCACAUGGUGGAGAUACGCUGGAACCAAGAUUCUGACCCACCAGUGAUCUCUCCAUGUGGGUAAACCUGGAGUACCUCCUCUCAACGUCUUCAUUUCCCAUUCUCAGGGUCUUGCCCCAGGGAUCUCUUCACUCUGCAAGAUCAUUUCAGCCCUGGAACUCCUACCUCAUCAGGACCCUGUGCCCUGGAGGAUCCUUCCCUCCCCCCAUUGGAAGGAGGAGAGCUCUACUCCCAGAACCACCAUUUAAGACACUGCCAGCCACAUCUCCACCAAGUCCUACUCCAACAUCUCAUCAUAUUGUGGAGGUGACCCACCCUGUGCCUCUGUCAGAGGAACACAAGACUCUAGAAGCUUCUACCAGGCUAGAAUGGAAUCAAGCUUAGUCCUUGCAGCUGGCAACUGUGUCUGCUUUCUAAGAAUCAACUUAAGUAAGGAUAGGCUCUUUGCCACCAGAUUGAUCACUCAGAGAUGAAAUAUUUGGCAUGGCAA